ensembl:lncRNA
GGGAACUGGGCUUGUUUAGCCUAGAGAAGAGAAGGCUGUGGGGAGAUCUCGUUGUGGCCUUUCAGUACCUGAAGGGAGUUUAUAAACAGGAGGGGGACUGGCAGGUAGGUAGCGACAGGACAAGGGGGAAUGGCUUUAAACUAAAAGAGGAGAAAUUUAGGUUUGAUGUUAGGAAGAAAUUAUUCGCUCAGAGGGUGGUGAGGCCCUGGCAAAGGCUGCCCAGCGAAACUGAGGAUAUCCAUCCCUGGAGGUGCUGAAGGGCAGGUUGGAUGGGUCCCUGGGCAGACUGAUCUGAUGAGAGGUGUCCCUUCCCAUGGCAGGGGAUUGGAAUUAGAUGAUCUUUAAGGUCCCUUCCAACCUAAGCCACUUUAUGAUUCUGUUGAAGCCAGAUGUAAUGCUCCUGUGGCUGCUGCUGCAUCAUAUCCCCAGUGCAUCAACCACCUCUGAGGAACCCUUGGGUCACCAGGAGAGACACUGGCUGGGUCAGCAAGUAAGCCUAAGCUCGAAAGAGAGAAAAAAAGUCCGUCUGUAGACGCAUGUACUGCUAAAAACAAAAACCAGCCUACACGCAGAAGAGCGGCAGCCCCUACAUUGCGGUGUGCGUCCACACACAGCCCGUUGUUCCAGAAACUCCAUCUCCCUUCAGCUGUGAUCACUCCUGACUGUUUGCAGUCUGUGUGCAGUGACGUGCAUGGAAUAUUACUAUGAAAAUGUGCGUUCUUGUUAAUAGGUAUAGUUUAGGAUGAUUGUUAGCAGAGCAUAAGGCCUUAUUGAUUGAAAGUGGCAUAUGGAAAGGAUGUAUAAUGAUUCACUUUGGCUGCUAGUUUGAAAUCCUAUUCAUGAGAGGGGAAAAAAAACCCACAACACUCUCCUUUGCAGUCAGGCUUCAUUCUUUCUGCAGCAUGUUUUUCAAUCUGGGCCAUUUUACAAGUGAUCCAUAGGGGAGAUUUCCUGCUCUCCUGGGUGUGUGCUCAAAGCUCUUUUCAGUCCGGCAAGGGCAGGUCAGAGGAACAAAAGCUGAAGUUAUCACACGUCUCUCUAGGAGGGAAAGGUUGGCUGUGCUGCAGCUCUCUCCUCUAAAAUUCUUUUUCGGGGAAUUUAGUGUUUGUGAAGGGUGAAAAUCUGAUGCUGACAUUUGUACCCAAGGUAUCUUUGAAAGACAAAGCAGCUUGGCUCCGCGAGCUGCAUAGAAGUGACUACAAAGACCAGAGUGUGAGUUACCAGCUGAGACUUUUGGACCUGGGAUAACAAGCUGCAAACCUCUUCAACUGCCUCACGCGUCAAAAGACUCUCCAUCUGUCAUUAAUAUGCAUCAAAGAUAAGGAUGCCUGUGGGUCAGGAUGAGCAGAAAAACAGUCCUACUCUGCAACAGAGAAUUCAAGGAGCCCAGGGACCUAACCCAAAUCUGGAGGGAGAGUUUUAGAAAAGCAUUUAAGUGGCAGGUUCCAGUGCAAGUCAGAACCAUGCUUGUAAAUCAACAAGAUCCUUUAAAAAUCCCACCGUGUCACCUGCCCUCAGCAUCUAGAGUGGUUGUUUAUUUUGCAGACAUCUUCACAAUUCCAUUCUCAAGAUUAUAAUUCACUUGGUGGUACCGCAGUUCUCGCACCCUUGAAGUUAAGUAAAUGGUUAAGUGCAGUGGUGGUUCAGAGCUAGAAGACUCUCUACCUUGCAGGAUUGAGCCCUUUAAUCUAUUCUUAUUUCCUUUUCAAUUUCUGCAAGUAACCCCAAGCAAGCUGGAAACACUAAGUGCAAAGUUACGGGAGAUGACUGUGGCAAUUUCUGAAUGACAAGAGCAUUUAAAAGAAAUGUCAAGAGUCUGUGGGCUGCAAGCUUUUAUGUUUCAAGGAGAAACAAAAAGAAAGGAGGGACAAUAAAUCAAACACAACAGCUUAGCGUGCUCCAUCUCUCAGAGUUAACCUCUUGAAAGCCAUGUCCCCAGCACAGAGUGGGCCACACUCUUUGAUAGGGUCCAUUAUUCUCUGUAGAGCAAUAGAGGUGGUAUGGUGGGCUCCUCCGUGCGUGCCCAGGGGCUGUGUACACUGCGCCUUGCUUAACAUGUGCUCUGCAUUUAUGGGUUAACAUCAAACAUGAGCUGAUUUAUAAUUCUUAAUCAAAAAAGGAUUAUAACCUAAUAAAUCCUAAUAACAUAUUCUGUCUGGAGGUUAUGUGGUGUAGUUGUAUAAUAUACUGGUAGCCUCAUUCUCCUAAGACUGGAAGACUGGACAAAGUUUUAUACUUGUCAAACAACUGUUCCCUUUGCUUAAAUGGAUCAAGACCCUUUAAGCACCGUGAUGCAAAUGGUCAUCCCUCUGAAUGGAGUCUUUCGUGCUAUAACAAGUUUUGAAGUACCUAGAAGCAUACCAGGAAACUUGCUGCACCUCUGUGGACUGGAUGUCUCAUCUCACUUCAAAGGCUCACUAGUGCUGGUUAAGGCCUAACUGUUGGCCAUUAGCUGAAUCUAAGCAUGAAACAUGUCAAACACAUCACCGAUGGUAGUCAGAGCCCUAAUGAGACCUCAAGAACUAACUAAUAGAGGCUAAGUGACAGUUUGUACAGAGCCUUUGUUUUCCAAGUUAAAAAAACGUUGGCACAAAAGACAAGUUAACCCUCUGUUUUGGAUUUUCUGAAUUUUGGAUCUCCUACCUAGGCAGGCAGGUAUUAUUGCAGGGAACCUGUAGGUAAU